rnacentral:rRNA from 1 species
CAAUAGCGUAUAUUAAAGUUGUUGCGGUUAAAAAGCUCGUAGUUGGAUUUCUGUUGAGGUCAGCCGGUGUGCACUUCGUGCAUUAUUUGGUUUGGUCUCGGCAUCCUCCUGGGGAGCGUUUCUGGCCUUUGUUGGACAGGACGAGAUUCAGGACUUUUACUUUGAGGAAAUUAGAGUGUUCACGGCAGGCAAGUGCUUUGAAUACAUUAGCAUGGAAUAAUAAUAUAGGACCUUCGUUCUAUUUUGUUGGUUUCUUAGAGCUUAGGUAAUGAUUAAUAGGGACGAAUUAGGGGGUCGAUUCGUAUUAACGUACGUCAGAGGUGGAAGUUACUUGGUAUUGCGUUACGUACGAACUAACUGCGAAAGACAUUUGUCCAAAGAAUGUUUUCUAUUGAUCAAGAACGAAAGUAUGGGGAUCGAAGACGAUCAGAUACCAU